rnacentral:rRNA from 1 species
CCGCGUGAGUGAUGAAGGUCUUCGGAUCGUAAAACUCUGUUAUCAGGGAAGAACAAAUGUGUAAGUAACUGUGCACAUCUUGACGGUACCUGAUCAGAAAGCCACGGCUAACUACGUGCCAGCAGCCGCGGUAAUACGUAGGUGGCAAGCGUUAUCCGGAAUUAUUGGGCGUAAAGCGCGCGUAGGCGGUUUUUUAAGUCUGAUGUGAAAGCCCACGGCUCAACCGUGGAGGGUCAUUGGAAACUGGAAAACUUGAGUGCAGAAGAGGAAAGUGGAAUUCCAUGUGUAGCGGUGAAAUGCGCAGAGAUAUGGAGGAACACCAGUGGCGAAGGCGACUUUCUGGUCUGUAACUGACGCUGAUGUGCGAAAGCGUGGGGAUCAAACAGGAUUAGAUACCCUGGUAGUCCACGCCGUAAACGAUGAGUGCUAAGUGUUAGGGGGUUUCCGCCCCUUAGUGCUGCAGCUAACGCAUUAAGCACUCCGCCUGGGGAGUACGACCGCAAGGUUGAAACUCAAAGGAAUUGACGGGGACCCGCACAAGCGGUGGAGCAUGUUGUUUAAUUCGAAGCAACGCGAAGAACCUUACCAAAUCUUGACAUCCUUUGACCGCUCUAGA